rnacentral:rRNA from 1 species
AACGAACGCUGGCGGCAGGCCUAACACAUGCAAGUCGAACGCCCUGGCAACAGGGAGUGGCAGACGGGUGAGUAACGCGUGGAACGUGCCCUUCGGUUCGGAAUAACUCAGGGAAACUUGAGCUAAUACCGGAUACGUGCGAGAGCAGAAAGAUUUAUCGCCGAAGGAUCGGCCCGCGUCCGAUUAGCUAGUUGGUGAGGUAACGGCUCACCAAGGCGACGAUCGGUAGCUGGUCUGAGAGGAUGAUCAGCCACACUGGGACUGAGACACGGCCCAGACUCCUACGGGAGGCAGCAGUGGGGAAUAUUGGACAAUGGGCGCAAGCCUGAUCCAGCCAUGCCGCGUGAGUGAUGAAGGCCCUAGGGUUGUAAAGCUCUUUCGCCAGGGACGAUAAUGACGGUACCUGGAUAAGAAGCACCGGCUAACUUCGUGCCAGCAGCCGCCGCGG